ACGGGACGGGAUGGGAUGGGACGGGACGGGGUGUUGGCGGUUCGGCCGCUGUUGGCGCCCAGCCUUCCUGCUUCUCUUUGAGAUAAAAACCUUGGAAAGCGCCGUGUGGCAGCGCGCCGUGUCGGUAACUCGGUUCCACGAGCUGCGCGGAGAAUCAAACGCGGAAACCCGGCACUUUUAACCCGGUUUUCUCUUUUCUUAAAGGAGAGGAGCGCCGCAGGGAGCCCCCAACCUGCCCGGAGGGGAUGCUGAGACUGCACGAUAUCUUAGAAAAAGAACACUGGACCUUUUGUCCAUUUGAACAACGUCUGAAAGUUGCUGUGAACGCACGAGUUGUGAGAUACUCCGCUGUGAUCUCCCGCAGCAGUGAUGAUUCUGAGCCUGGAUGAUGAACACGCGGCCCCAUGCGGAGCGCACUCUGUGAACGCACAACUUUGCAUAGGGAGAAGCAAGCAUACAGAAGUUCUGCUGAAAUUGGCUGCCUUCCCCCGUGUCUUCAGAUCAUGCAGUCUGAGUGCCCAGGGGACUCCAGCUUUUGGACCAGGACUGAAGAAACAUCAUGUGGAUGACCUGCAUGACAUAAUCCAUAUUCAGGUAUACUAAUAACUGCGUUCUUACUUGGACCUCACUCUGCUUCUUUGGUUCAGCAUCACUCAGCCCUGUGCUGUCCAAGCCAGCAUCAACUCAGGUGUGUGAAACAUCAUGACAUGCUGCAUUUCUUGAUAGAAGCAAACGUCAAGGCAGAAAAAUUAAGGGAAAGAUGUAGGGUGCUGUUCAAAAGAGCUUUCAAAUACUGCAGAUCGCACAAAUAAAUAGUUUUUUCCCACAGAACCACAUGUAUGUCAUGAACAAAAGCUAUAGUACAAACAUGUAUUUGCCAAAGAGAGGUUUCAAGUUUUGCCCUGAUUUGAGUCAUUUGUACAUCAAUGUGCUUUUUGCAUAAAACAGAAAUGGUUACAUCUAUUCUACCACAGCAGCUUCAACAUACGUUAAAAUGUGAUGACAGGUAUUUCAACUACAAAUAGAAGAAAGAGGAUUUCAUUUCACUGCAUUUUCUUCUAGACAACAGGCAUUUUUCUUGCACAGAGAAUGCUGGUAUGCAUAGCAAUCCACAGGAACUAUGAGGCAUCUUAUGUUCCUGUUCACUGAAGUAAACGUUGAUUGUGCAACCAUCAGUUUGCUGUGAACUUCUCUGCUUUACUGUACAGAGUAUGGCAUAGUUGUCUGAGGGAUAAGUGCUUCAUCACUUGGUUGUCCUUAUAAAACACAGCCCAGGUUUUACCAUUUGAAAUAUUUACCAUGUAUUACCCAUGUGUAAUAUUCAAUGCAUAUAAAUGCAUGCAAGUAAGUAUGUUUUUUUUAAAAAAAAACUUCAUUGCCAGCAGUAAAGAAGUUUGUAGGAAUAUGAUCAAGCUGUUUAUGUAGACAUGGAUUUAAGGGAUGUAAUGUUGAUAUCAUUGGUACCAUGGGGUUCUGAAGAACAGGACAUACAGACAAGCACGCUGUUUUACCUUAUUUUCAUUACAUCUUCCUUAAAUAACUUUGCUUUCGUGUAUUUUCAUUGCAGAGGAUAAUCUGUAAAACCAUAUCCCCAUCUAUGGCAGUGUUAGACACCACUGGUGGCUAGCUGGAAAGUUACACCAGCUGAGAUUGGUUAAGUCAGUUCAGCUUGUGUUACCUGGCAGUUUUCCUUGGGAGGUAAUUCGUUGCAAGUUGUUUAACGCUAACAUAGAUAGCAAAAUACAUACCAGUGUGUAUGGUGGUGCGAGUGCUGAUGUUGUUCUGGGACCAAAAGCUUGUGAGGGCAAGUCAGUGAGUUGUCAUUCUUCUGAUUGACAGGUGUCAGGAAAAUCUAUUUCCGAAUGUCUGCAAAAAGUAAGGCUCUAUUCUGAAUAACACUGGGGAAAAAAGUGAUGUUAAUACAAUGGUAAUAAAAAUUGCUUAAAGCAAUGGAAAAA